GAAGCCUGCUUCUCGCUCUCCCACUCCCCCUGCUUGUGUUCCCUCUCUCGCUGUCUCUCUCUCUCAAAUAAAUAAAUAAAUAAAUCUUUAAAAAAAAAGGGGGGGGAUAUUAUCUAAAUGAUCUGGUUAAUCUUCUCUUUCUUUUCUUUUUUCUUUUUUUCAGAUUUUAUUUAUUUGACAGAGAGAGACACAGCGAGAGAGGGAACACAAGCAGGAGGAGUGGGAGAGGAAGAAGCAGACUCCCCGCCGAGCAGGGAGCCUGAUGCGGGGCUCGAUCCCAGGACCCUGGGAUCAUGACCUGAGCCGAAGGCAGACGCUCAACGACUGAGCCACCCAGGCGCCCCUUCUUUUCUCUUUUUAAAAAAAUUUUUUAAUCCUUUUUUUUUUGGUCAGAGAGAGUGCGAGCACAAGCAGGGGGAGCGGCAGGCAGAGGGAGAAGCAGGCUCCUUGGGAGCCCAACGUGGGAUUUGAUCCCAGGACCCUGGGAUCGUGAGCUGAGCUGAAGGCCGAUGUUUAACCGACUGAACCACCCAGGCGUCCCUCUUUUUUUAAAAAAAAUAGGCUCCACGCCUAGGGUGGAACUCAUAACCCUCAGAUCAAGACCUGAGCUGAGAUUAAGAGUUGGACAAUUAACUGACCAAGUCACCCAGGAGCCCAGACCUGGUUAAUCUUUUUAAAGGAUUGUGGUGAGCCACCUAGGCCACGUAGUUCCUGCAGUGACCAGGUGUCCUAUUUUGUUUUGAACCUGGGUUCCUCCUCAUUUGCUGUGGAUUUCAGACCAGACGGUAUCCUUCUGGAAAUUCUAGUUGGUAAGUCAACAGGUUGAUUUAUGUGCAAAAAAUAAAUAAAUAAAAUAAACAAAAAAAUAAACCCAAAACAAACAAAACAGAAAACAGAAAAGAAGUCCAUUUCAGUUGUCACGUGUAUUACAUCCCUUAUCUUCACGGCAGCUCUGACAGGUGCUGCGACAGAGGCCCCCAGUAAGCCUUGGUCCUUAAUAAACCACCCUCUGGGUGUUCAGCUGGCCUUGGCCACAUGGACUCCAGACCACAUUCCCAAGCUUCCGUCGAAGGUGCUCUGGCCAGGGAGAUCUACAGAGAGGUACUGUGUGCAACUUCCCUUACCGGGAAGGAGCAUCUUCUCUUUGUUCUUCACUGGCUGGAAUGUCAUCUGGAAGAGAAUGGCAGCCAUCUUGGGCCACCUGGUGCGCUCAGACACCGCAGAGCUGACGAGGCUGGAGCUGGACAGCAGGGCCACGGGUUGGCCAUCUCCCAGAAAAAGAAACUCCCAUCUCCUCGAAGCCACGGUGAGAGGCGGUUUCUCUGACAUACACUCAGCAAAUCCUGAGAAGUGCAAGUGGGCAGCAUGAACUCCCAUUCUCCAGGUAAAGAAAGUGGAAUGCAAAGAGGCCAAGUGGGCUCCUCGGGCUGGUAGUAGCUGGAUCUGCAGCGGAGGACCCUCCCCCCCAAACAAAUCGGGGAGAAAAAGUACGUGGGCAAUUCUGUUCUUUAGGCUUUGGAUGUAUUCCCCCAGAUUGUUGAAUCUCCAUUUUAUUUUUUUCCCCAAUUGUUUACUAAUUGAUGUCAAGAAACGGGGAUUGGAGCAGGGCAGGACUGAAGUGGACACAGGCCACUCCGCCAAAGGACUUAAGAGACCUAGAAACUCUGGAUGAAUGCCCUUUGCUCAUAAACAUAAGAACCACCCAUCGUUUUGAAACCCCAAGUGCAAACAGAGUUGAUUCUACUUCCCUCCUUCCUCAAACACACCCCAAAGGCCUUGGGCAAAAAGAGGGAGCCACUGUUUUUUCUGUUCUUAAACAAAGUGGCAGACAUUCCAUCUAACCCUGAAAAAAACACUAGAGAUGUGCUUUGGGGACAAGUUGUGGUUUUCGUUUGUUAUCAUUAUUUUUUUUAAUUUGGGUGGGAAGCGUAAGGAGUUGGAAAAGAGCCAGCAGUCCCUAUGGCUCCUAACUCAAAGAACUAAAGUCCGAGAGUCCUCCCCUCAUCUGCAGUCACCCACGGUGAAGCAGAGGAACCUCCUUCUGACAUUUGGUCAGACGAUCAAUAGUAGCCUAAUGCUGCAUCUCAUGCCAACGUCAUUCACUCGUUUCACCUCAUCAUGUAGGCAUUUAUAUUGUCUCAUGUCCUCACAGAACGGUGAGUAUUAAGAGAAUAAGAUAUUUUGAGAGACAGCACAUUCACCUAAUUUUUAUUAUAGUAUAUUGUUAUAAUUAUUCUGUUAUUAUUGUUGUUAAUCUCUUAGGUGCCUAAUUGUAAAUUAAACUUUCUCAUCAGUAUGUAUGGAUAGGAAAAAGCUUUGUAUAUAUGGGCUUUGGUACCAGCUGUGGUUUUAGGCACCCACCGGGGCUCUUGGAACGUAUCCCCCAUGGAUAAGGAGAGACUACUGUCAAUAUUUAGUGAGGCCUUCAGCUACUUGGGUUGGGCAUCGGAAAACAUAUAAAUCAGCCAGGUGGGAGCCAUGAACUAGAGACAAAGCCCCACCUCGAAGGUGCCGUCAGAGAGUUGGCACUUGAGAAUUCAGGCCCGCAUCUGCUGUCAGGAACCGAGGGUUUGUUUUUUGUUUUUUUUGUUGUUUCUUUGUUUUUGUUUUUGUUUUUAAGAAUUCUCUUGACCUUUUGUUGUUGGCAACUAAUGUGUUCACGGUUUUAUCCCCAGUCACCAAAUUUAGUUUAUGAAUCAUAAGUAGAGCAACACUAGCUUAAGCCAUAGGAGAGUUUUCUUUUAAACUCUGUAUUGAAGUAUACCUCCUUAUAAUUCCUUAUGUGCAUUAUUUGGUGACACCUGGAACGUAAGAGGUGCCUGGAACGUAAGAGGUGCUCAGUGGAAUGACCAAAUGAGUGAAUUAUAAAUAAUGCACAUAACGGCCCAAUUAGCAAAUGGGUGAAGCACUUGAAUAGACAUUUUUCCAAAGAAGAUAUAUGGUCACCAAGCACAUGAAAUGCAAAUGAAAGCCACGGUGAGCUACCAUAUUGCACCCACUCGGAAGGCUAGAAUCAAAAAAACCAAAAUAACAGGUGCUGGUGAGCAUGUGGAGAAAUUGGAACCCUUGGGCAUUGCUGGUGGGAAUGUAAAAUGGCAGCCAAUGUGGAAACCAGCUUGGUGCUUCUCCAAAAAGUUAAACAUAGAGUUACCAUAUGACCCAGCAAUUCUGCUCCUAGGUGUCAACCCCCCAAAAUUGAAAACAGGUGCUCAAAUGCAGACUUGUACAUAUAUGUUCAUAGCAGUACUAUUCACAAAAUAGCCCAAGAUGAAAACAACCCAAUGGUUCCAGCAACGGAUGAA